CCAGACUCCUACGGGAGGCAGCAGUGGGGAAUAUUGCACAAUGGGGGAAACCCUGAUGCAGCGACGCCGCGUGAGUGAAGAAGUAAUUCGUUAUGUAAAGCUCUAUCAGCAGGGAAGAAAAUGACGGUACCUGAGUAAGAAGCCCCGGCUAACUACGUGCCAGCAGCCGCGGUAAUACGUAGGGGGCAAGCGUUAUCCGGAUUUAUUGGGUUUAAAGGGUGCGUAGGCGGAAGGUUAAGUCAGCGGUCAAAUGUCGGUGCUCAACACCGGCCUGCCGUUGAAACUGGUCUUCUUGAGUGAGCGAGAAGUAUGCGGAAUGCGUGGUGUAGCGGUGAAAUGCAUAGAUAUCACGCAGAACUCCGAUUGCGAAGGCAGCAUACCGGCGGCGAUCUGACGCUGAGGCACGAAAGCGUGGGUAUCGAACAGGAUUAGAUACCCGAGUA
rnacentral:rRNA from 1 species